GUCGUCAAUGAUGAAAAUUUGCUGACUUCACCAAAUUUUUACAAAAACCUUUAUUUGUAAAAAUUUGAUGAAGUCAGUAAAUUUUUAGUGCUGCUGUAUUUUC
rnacentral:pre_miRNA from 1 species